rnacentral:rRNA from 1 species
UACGGGGGGGGCAAGCGUUGUUCGGAAUUACUGGGCGUAAAGGGCUCGUAGGCGGCCAACUAAGUCAGACGUGAAAUCCCUCGGCUUAACCGGGGAACUGCGUCUGAUACUGGAUGGCUUGAGAUUGGGAGAGGGAUGCGGAAUUCCCGGUGUAGUGGUGAAAUGCGUAGAUAUCGGGAGGAACACCAGUGGCGAAGGCGACUUCCUGGCCUGUUCUUGACGCUGAGGCGCGAAAGCUAGGGGAGCAAACGGG